GCUGGGCUUGGUAGCGCGAGCCUGUAACCUAAGUGGGAGCAUUAGAAUGGUGGAAUAAUUUGGCUUACCUUUGAAGGCUGGGCUCGGGGGUGCUAUCUACUGGCUUGCCCGUUCCAAGUGGUGAGUCCGGUUGUGGAGUCUCUGCGAAGGCGGAGGCUUCUCGUCUCUUAGACAGGAGGGCACCGCGUCAGGCUGGUUUCACAGAGCAGCGAACACCUCCUCCUCUCUGCAGUGGAAGGAUAACAGGCCAGAGCAUCUUCAGUCCACUAGCGCCUGAUGGGUUCUCCAAAUUUAAACCACCAUCUUU
rnacentral:SRP_RNA from 1 species